rnacentral:rRNA from 1 species
CGACAGGCUUAACACAUGCAAGUCGAGGGGCAUCAUGAGGUAGCAAUACCUUGAUGGCGACCGGCGCACGGGUGAGUAACGCGUAUGCAACCUGCCCGAUACCGGGGUAUAGCCCAUGGAAACGUGGAUUAACACCCCAUAGUACUUUUAUCCUGCAUGGGAUGUGAGUUAAAUGUUCAAGGUAUCGGAUGGGCAUGCGUCCUAUUAGUUAGUUGGCGGGGUAACAGCCCACCAAGACGAUGAUAGGUAGGGGUUCUGAGAGGAAGGUCCCCCACAUUGGAACUGAGACACGGUCCAAACUCCUACGGGAGGCAGCAGUGAGGAAUAUUGGUCAAUGGACGUAAGUCUGAACCAGCCAAGUCGCGUGAGGGAAGACUGCCCUAUGGGUUGUAAACCUCUUUUAUAACGGAAGAAUAAGUUCUACGUGUAUAAUGAUGCCUGUACCUUAUGAAUAAGCUUCGGCUAACUCCGUGCCAGCAGCCGCGGUAAUACGGAGGAUGCAAGCGUUAUCCGGAUUUAUUGGGUUUAAAGGGUGCGUAGGCGGUUAUUAAGUUAGUGGUUAAAUAUUUGAGCUAAACUCAAUGUGCCAUUUAAUACUGGUAAACUGGAGUACAGACGAGGUAGGCGGAAUAAGUUAAGUAGCGGUGAAAUGCAUAGAUAUAACUUAGAACUCCGAUAGCGAAGGCAGCUUACCAGACUGUAACUGACGCUGAUGCACGAGAGCGUGGGUAGCGAACAGGAUUAGAUACCCUGGUAGUCCACGCCGUAAACGAUGCUCACUGGUUCUGUGCGAUAUAUUGUACGGGAUUAAGCGAAAGUAUUAAGUGAGCCACCUGGGGAGUACGUCGGCAACGAUGAAACUCAAAGGAAUUGACGGGGGCCCGCACAAGCGGAGGAACAUGUGGUUUAAUUCGAUGAUACGCGAGGAACCUUACCUGGGUUUAAAUGGGAAAUGUCGUAUUUGGAAACAGAUAUUCUCUUCGGAGCGUUUUUCAAGGUGCUGCAUGGUUGUCGUCAGCUCGUGCCGUGAGGUGUCGGGUUAAGUCCCAUAACGAGCGCAACCCUUACCGUUAGUUGCUAGCAUGUAAUGAUGGGCACUCUAACGGGACUGCCACCGUAAGGUGAGAGGAAGGCGGGGAUGACGUCAAAUCAGCACGGCCCUUACACCCUGGGCUACACACGUGUUACAAUGGCCGGUACAGAGGGCCGCUACCAGGUGACUGGAUGCCAAUCUCAAAAGCCGGUCGUAGUUCGGAUUGGAGUCUGUAACCCGACUCCAUGAAGUUGGAUUCGCUAGUAAUCGCGCAUCAGCCAUGGCGCGGUGAAUACGUUCCCGGGCCUUGUACACACCGCCCGUCAAGCCAUGGAAGCCGGGGGUGCCUGAAGUCCGUAACCGCGAGGAUCGGCCUAGGGCAAAACUGGUAACUGGGGC